AUUGAACGCUGGCGGCAUGCUUUACACAUGCAAGUCGAACGGUAACAGGCCUUCGGGUGCUGACGAGUGGCGAACGGGUGAGUAAUGCAUCGGAACGUACCUAGAGGUGGGGGAUAACGCAGCGAAAGCUGUGCUAAUACCGCAUGUGAUCUGAGGAUGAAAGCGGGGGACCGAGCAGCAAUGUUUGGCCUCGCGCCUUUGGAGCGGCCGAUGUCGGAUUAGCUAGUUGGUGGGGUAAAGGCCUACCAAGGCGACGAUCCGUAGCUGGUCUGAGAGGACGACCAGCCACACUGGGACUGAGACACGGCCCAGACUCCUACGGGAGGCAGCAGUGGGGAAUUUUGGACAAUGGGCGCAAGCCUGAUCCAGCAAUGCCGCGUGCGGGAAGAAGGCCUUCGGGUUGUAAACCGCUUUUGGCAGGAACGAAACGGUGUCCGCUAAUACCGGGCGCUAAUGACGGUACCUGCAGAAUAAGCACCGGCUAACUACGUG
rnacentral:rRNA from 1 species